GAUGAACGCUGGCGGCGUGCCUAAUACAUGCAAGUCGAGCGAACAGAUGAGGAGCUUGCUCCUCUGACGUUAGCGGCGGACGGGUGAGUAACACGUGGAUAACCUACCUAUAAGACUGGGAUAACUUCGGGAAACCGGAGCUAAUACCGGAUAAUAUAUUGAACCGCAUGGUUCAAUAGUGAAAGACGGUUUUGCUGUCACUUAUAGAUGGAUCCGCGCCGCAUUAGCUAGUUGGUAAGGUAACGGCUUACCAAGGCAACGAUGCGUAGCCGACCUGAGAGGGUGAUCGCCCACACGGGAACGGAGCCACGGUCCAGAUCCCUACGGGAGGCAGCAGUAGGGAAUCUUCCGCAAUGGGCGAAGUCCUGACGGAGCAACGCCGCGUGAGUGAUGAAGUUCUUCGGAUCGUAAAACUCUGUUAUUAGGGAAGAACAAAUGUGUAAGUAACUAUGCACGUCUUGACGGUACCUAAUCAGAAAGCCACGGCUAACUACGUG
rnacentral:rRNA from 1 species